CUUUGAUCCAUUUGCACUUAAGUUUUGUGCAUGGUGACAGCAGAUGGAGGCUAUUACAGAGAACCACAACUGAUCAAAGUACAGAGAAUAAGUGACUGCGGGAUAUCUAUAUGACACUUAUUGCUGGAGAUAGAGAGCCAGUGCUGAGAUGAAGAUGAGUGAAGACCUCUCCCUCAUCAAAGAAGCUUCUUUUUGCAACAUAUGAAAGCUAUUACUGAGGACCAGAACUGGUCGAAGUGGAGAGAAUAAGUAACUGAGGAGUGCCCAGCCCCAAAUGGGACAUCUGUAACAUGGUUCCUAUACCCAAGACUGAGAGAACAUUAUGGAAGGGGGCUACAAAGAUUCUAAGAGUCAGAGGACUGGAAGAACUGGAAGUACUGCCAACAAAAUACUUUCUUCUGGGCACGACAAGGCUUGUGUGCCCAUGGACUCUCAAAGUUAUGAUUGCUUGCAUAAGACCUGCAAGACUACACCAGUCGACAUUCUAACAUGGAUGGAGGAAGGCCUUACAAGGCCUCACACCUAGUUGAAUAGCUACAAGCAGUCAACAGUUGAUGUAGGAUAGUUAAGAGAGUUUUCUUUAGGGGCAAGCCCCUAUAUAAGUUGCCAAGGCCCACGGGGUCAGCCCUACACCUGUGUAUGUGGUGGCACCUGAAAUAUGUAAAUUUACAUUAAAGAACUAGG
rnacentral:lncRNA from 1 species